UGGACACUCCGGUGGGAGGUGCUGUUGAGAUGCUAAAGCCAGAAACUGAUGUCGCCAUAGCCAGCAGCACCUGCCUCAUCAACCCUUGCUCUCAUCCUCCUCAUUCCGACGAUGUUCCUGCUGGUCCUUCCAGGCUUCCCAGUCCCGACCCAUGGCCUCCACCCUGCACCACCCCAAUCAUUUCUGUCUGCCUCUCCUAUCCUGCUCUAUUCUGGUCCGUGGACUCUCCAGCAGUCAGAAGGGGCCUUCCGUGGUAUUCCAUGUCAACCCUGUGUUUGAGAGUUAUGUCCUGGGCCAGGAACAUGCUCAAUGGCUAGCAUUUGUCCAGCAUGCACAAGACCCCGGGGUGGAUCACUACAGCUGCAGAAAUAAACCAAAUCUGUGGCCUUUAGAA
rnacentral:lncRNA from 1 species